rnacentral:lncRNA from 1 species
CCACUUGACCCAUGAACUUCCCCCCUGGCCCUCAGCAGGACAAGGUCAAGGCAGUCGGCUGCCCUAGGGAGCUACGUCUGGCCCCCGAUUGGGGACAUCCUGGCAUUACCGGGGCAUCGGGAG